rnacentral:rRNA from 1 species
AUUGAACGCUGGCAGCAGGCCUAACACAUGCAAGUCGAGCGGAGCGGGGGACGGGGAAGUAAUGCCUAGGGAUCAGCCUGGGAGUGGGGGAUCACGUCCGGAAAGGGGCGCUAAGACCGCAUACUAUCAGAUGAGCCUCGGUCGGAUUAGCUAGUUGGUGGGGUAAAGGCCUACCAAGGCGACGAUCCGUAACUGGUCUGAGAGGAUGAUCAGUCACACUGGAACUGAGACACGGUCCAGACUCCUACGGGAGGCAGCAGUGGGGAAUAUUGGACAAUGGGCGAAAGCCUGAGCCAGCCACGCCGCGUGUGUGAAGAAGGUCUUCGGAUUGUAAAGCACUUUAAGUUGGGAGGCGUUACCAACAGAAUAAGCACCGGCUAACUUCGUGCCAGCAGCCGCGGUAAUAC